AAAAAUGUGUAAGAAUUACACAUUUGUCCAUUUUCUAGAGUCAUUACGGUAGUUUUCUGACUCAUUGCACAGUGAGAAGGAAACUGCGGUAAAGUUAGUUUGACUUUCGACAUUCGUUAGAUAUUCGGUUUCGCUUACCCGCGCUCUCUUCAGUCGACAAUCUUACAAAGAUGUCAUUAGCACACUUUGUUUAAAGGGAGUACAACUAUACUAUAUGGGCAUAAAAAUUGGAUUCUGAACAGUCAACGCUUGGUGUGGCUGAAAAUUAUGCCUGAAAUGCUCCGAUGCGCUUUCACUGCCUAGCAGAUGUAAGGGACCGUCUGAAAACUCCACCCACUAAGCUAAAUCAUAGGAGAUGUCUACUCAUUCGUUCAAUUGACGUGCAAGUUAUACAUAGGAAAGAAAAAUCAAAACAAACAGUAAAAUACCUUUUCACAUUCAGAAUGUUCUAAUAACUUCCCAGAGGAUAGAUGGACUUACUACAGAAUGUUGUAGUAACUUCCCAGAGGAUAGAUGGACUUACUACAGUAACUUCCCAGAGGAUAGAUGAAUUUACUACAGGCUGUAGUAACUUCCUAGAGGAUAGAUGGAUUUACUACAGAUUCCAAAGGCUGUAGUAACUUCUCAGAGGAUAGAUGGACUUAAUACAGCUGUAGUAACUUCCCAGAGGAUAGAUGGACUUACUACAGUAACCUUUCAGAGGAUAUACAGACUUACAACAGGCUUAACAGGAGAGAUGACAUAAUAAAGUCUGAUUGCUGACAGCAAGAGAGAUCUCCACUAUCGCUUCCUUGAGCACGGGGCUCAUAAAAUCGCUGUUGUGGAGAGGAUGCUUUAUCAUCUGACUUCAGUAAAUAUGACUAAAUCUGGCAGAUGAGAAGGAGGGAGAAGGCGAGGAAGAGGCAUCAGUGGGCCCCAGAGACCAUGGACGAGGCCGUGGCAGAGGUCAGAGCAGGCAGGCAACCAAGGUGUUUGAUGUUCUUUAAGUCCAACUCGUAUUGACUGGGGCUGUCACGUUUUCCUCAAAUCAUGCUUGAAUGAAUGCAAAGUACACGAGAAUUCAUUCAAACUAUUUCAAACUUUUAUGUAAUUAGAAAUGAUCACAUUUUCACAGUCUUAUACCUUUUGAAAUGUUUUAUGUUUUUGGGGGUGGGAAAACAGCAAAGACACCAACUCAUUAUUUAACCAUUUGUAUCACCUCGGAGCAUUUUGGACUGAUUGAAUGUGUGGAAUGAUUUGUAGACACACCAAUUGGAUCGCACAUACUGAAAAUCCAUAGGAAAAUUGUGUUGAUUACUGAGUGACUGACACUGUCUAUGCGACAAUUUAUAUGAGAGAUCCACGAACAGGCAAGCAUCAAAUUUUUUUAAACUCCUUGCACCCUUGAUUUCCCCAUGUUUUUCCCCUUCUGCCUUAGCUGUUGCAUUUUCAUAGUUAACUAUUUAAAUAAUUCUGUGUGAUAUGCCACAUUUUGCAAUUGUGACUAGUCUUUGUCUGUGUUCACUGAGUUGGCAGUCUAAAAGCUAUGCAUGUUAACAAUACUGUAUCAUAACCACAUCAACUGUAUUAUUUACUUCUAAUUGUGUAUUCAUGUGAAGUGGAGAAUGGAUAGAAUGGACAAGGAUUUUAAGCUAAAUUACCAUUUCAAGAUGUAUAGUAAAUAUAAACUCAGCAAAAAAUGAAAUGUCCCUUUUUCAGGACACUGUAUUUUAGAGAUAAUUUUGUAAAAAUCCAAAUAACUUCACAGAUCUUUAUUGUAAAGGGUUUAAACAAUGUUUUCCAUGCUUGUUCAAUGAACCAUAAUUAAUGAACAUGCACCUGUGGAAUGGUCUUUAAGACACUAUCUUACAGAUGGUAGGCGAUUAAGGUCACAGUUAUAAAAACUAAAGAGACCUUUCUGCUGACUCUGGAAAAACACCAAAAGAAAGAUGCAUAGGGUCCCUGCUCAUCUGCGUGAACGUGCCUUAGGCGUGCUGCAUUGAGGCAUGAGGACUGCAGAUGUGGCGAGGGCAAUAAAUUGCAAUGUUCGUACUGUGAGACGCAUAAGACAGCGCUACAGGGAGACAAGAAGGACAGCUGAUCGUCCUCGCAGUGGCAGACCACUUGUAACAACACCUGCACAGGAUCUGUACAUCCGAAUAUCACACCUGCGGGACAGGUACAGGAUGGCAACAAAAACUGCCCGAGUUACACUAGGAAUGCACAGUCCCUCCAUCAGUGCUCAGGCUGUCCGCAAUAGGCUGAGAGAGCCUGGACUGAGGGCUUGUAGGCCUGUUGUAAGGCAGGUCCUUACCAGACAUCGCCUAUGGGCACAAACCCACCUUCACUGGACCAGACAGGACUGGCAAAAAGUGCUCUUCACUGACGAGUUGCAGUUUUGCCUCACCAGGGGUGAUGGUCAGACUCGCGUUUAUCGUCGAAGGAAUGAGCGUUACACCGAGGCCUGUACUCUGGAGCGGGAUCAGUUUGGAGGUUGAGGGUCUGUCAUGGUCUGGGGUGGUGUGUCACAGCAUCAUCGGACUGAGCUUGUUGUCAUUGCAGGCAAUCUCAACGCUGUGCGUUACAGGGAAGACAUCCUCCUCCCUCAUGUGGUACCCUUCCUGCAGGCUUAUUCUGACAUGACACUCCAGCAUAACAAUGGCACCAGCCAUACUGCUUGUUCUGUGUGUGAUUUCCUGCAAGACAGGAAUGUCAGUGUUCUGCCUUGGCCAGCGAAGAGCCCGGAUCUCAAUCCCAUUGAGCACGUCUGGGACCUGUUGGAUCGGAGUGUGAGGGCUAGGGCCAUUCCCCCCAGAAGUGUCUGGGAACUUGCAAGUGCCUUGGUGGAAAUGUGGGGUAACUUCUCACAGCAAAUCUGGUGCAGUCCAUGAGGAGGAGAUGCACUGCAGUACUUAAUUCAGCUGGAGGCCACACCAGAUACUGAUUGUUACUUUUGGUUUUGAACCUCCCCACCCCCUUUGUUCAGGGACACAUUAUUCCAUUUCCGUUAGUCACAUGUCUGUGAAACUUGUUCAGUUUAUGUCUUAGUUGUUGAAUCUUUUCAUGUUCAUACAAAUAUUUACACAUGCUAAGUUUGCUAAAAAUAAAAGCAGUUGAAAGUGAGAGAACAUUUCUUUUUUUGCUGCGUUCAUUUUGUAAAAUGGUUGCAAGCUCUGCAAAUAAAAAGAAAGAAAAGAAACUCCCUGCUUAGUGCAUCUUUAAUAAAUAAUGCAAAUAAGAACAUAUUGAGGCAUUAGCCUUCCCAUAACCUCUUUACAUUCCCAACAUGGUUGUUACCACUGGGCAUCAUGAAAACUAUGACCAAUAGAUCCCCACAGGCAACAAGCAUAAAUCCAGUUGCUUUGGUUAUUCUUUGCAUUUGUUAUUUUUGUAAUUAUUAUCUAAGUCAGUAGCUUCACACCUCAUGACUUAGUGAUUAAUCCAGUCAUUCUUGCCAGAAGAAAUUGUUUUAUGAAAAGUAAUGUUUGUAGUCCAUUAUCAAGUAAUCCUGCUUGGUGCAAUACCCCCACCUGGGCUCUAGUUUCUUGAAGGCAGGUGUCUGACUGACAGACAUACAAAACCAAAGCUGACAUUCCUCGCACUUUCCCAUGGUUGGGUAUUUUAGUUUUUUGGUUUAUGUAUGACCUGUGGACAAGGGGGCACUUUCUGUGUGGCAUUUUUGCUGGCAUGUGACUUUUUUUUUAAAUUAUGUUUUGUUAUAAUUUCAUAUCAUAUGUACAUUGUCAAUUUGAUCUUUUUUUCUUUUUUUUUUUUUUUUUUUUUUUACAAAGUAGUUUAAACUAUUUUUUCUAAGUAGCUUUAGUUAACCAAACUAGAUUUCUCCAUAGGAUAGGUUUGCUGUAGUUCAACUUCUUCCAUUGUGAAGUAGUUGGUAGCUUGCAAAGCUAUGCUUUCAAAGUAGCUUCCCCAACACUUACCCCAACAUGCACCUGGAAGCAAACUGCAGCGGGUCCUUAUACUGUAUAUUGUCCUCCAUCUACAAAUCAAAGUCUGCAAUAUUCUAUGUGCAUACAGCCAAAAUUCAUAAUGUUGUGCCAGUAAACCUAUAUUGGUGAUUUAUUCUUUACAAUUUUACUAUUGUGGAUUAGUCAUGGUAUUUGACUUGCCUUUUACUGCCUUUUUUUCUUUUCAUUUUUAUGUUCUGAUUGAGUUCUGUGACAUCAAUUAAAAGAAGAUAUUGGUUGAAAUUGUGUUGUAUUACUGCGCUUACUGAAAUGCAAAAGCCAAUUGAAUUAUAGAUAGCUUUCUGUACAUCAGGCUUAGAGCAUUGAUUACUGACUUCUUGAAGAUGUUUAAUGACUGUGUAGGAGCUAAUUUGUAGUUUGUUGUCUAAUAGAAUUUGAGUUUGAUUACUAUAGAUCCUUGUUUAUUUUGAUGAGUAUUUUCAUUUCUUAGUUAUUUGGUUUAUUUCUUUUUUGUUUUAGUUUAUUUUGAUUAUUGUUUGUUUUAUUUUUGUUUUUGUAAGAGCAGGUUAAUGCUAUGGGUAUCUCAUUUUGUAUAAAUGGGUAGGCAAGAAUAGGACCAGCAUGCACUGGAGGAGGGCCCAUGAAUUUUUUUUUUUUUUGUGUUUUACCAGAGCAAUAGAGCCAGCAGGAGCCAGGAUUCUUUUUUUAUUUGUUUGCUUUCUGGCAUUGGAUAAAUAAACCAGCAAACGCACAGAUUGUGUUUGGACAAUGGACUUCUUUUGCCUGUGUACAUUACAUGCCUGUGGUACAUCAGUGGCUCUUUGACUAUGAGUUUGAAUUUGAUUUUUGACAAAUAGCUAUUACAGACUCAUUGGCUAUGUAAUUAUAUAUUAUGAUGUUGGCCCAGGCCACAAUAAUGCAGCCAUUUUCUGGCCAAUUAAACCAGAUUAGGAGAUGGACAAAUAUUUUGUGAUUG